GAAAUGCGAUAAGUAGUGUGAAUUGCAGAAUUCAGUGAAUCAUCGAAUCUUUGAACGCACAUUGCGCCCCUUGGUAUUCCAUGGGGCAUGCCUGUUCGAGCGUCAUUUGUACCCUCAAGCUUUGCUUGGUGUUGGGCGUCUUGUCUUGUAUUAGACUCGCCUUAAAGUCAUUGGCAGCCAGUGUUUUUGGUAGUAAGCGCAGCACAUUUUGCGUCUUAGUCCUUGAAUCGUGGCAUCCAUGAAGCCUUUUUUCACUUUUGACCUCGGAUCAGGUAGGGAUACCCGCUGAACUUAA
rnacentral:misc_RNA from 1 species